rnacentral:lncRNA from 10 species
CUUUUUUUUUUUUUUUUUUAACAGAGUCUAGCUCUGUGGGCCAGGCUGGAGUGCAUGGUGUGAUCUCGUCUCACUGUAGCUCAACCUCCUGGGCUCAAGCGAUCCUGCUGCCUCAGUCCCCGAGGUAGCUGGGACUACAGGUGUACAUCACCACUUCUGGCUAAUUUUUGUAUCUUUUAUAGAGACGGGGUUUCACCAUGUUGCCCAGGCUGGUCUCAAACUCCUGAGCUCAAGCUAUCCGCCUGUCUUGGCCUUCCAAACUGCAAGGAUUACAGGCGUGAGCCACUGUGCCAGGCGCAUUAGCAAUUUUUCAUAGCAUAUCUACAAAGUUCUAAUAUGUAUAUAAUGUAUAUUACAAGAACAUAAGUGCUUUGAUUUAGGUUAUUCAGUUAUAUAAUUAUGUUGAGUCCCAACUGUGUGCCAGAUACCGUGCUGAGUAGGUAGUAAACAUUGGUAAGCAAAACAGACAUAGCCCCUGCCCUUAUCAGACUACCCACAUAGCCCGGACACAGUGGCUCUCACCUGUAAUCUCAGCACUUUGGGAGGCCAAGGCUAGAGGAUCGCUUGAGGCCAGGAGUU